rnacentral:tRNA from 1 species
GACCUGUUAGCUCAGUUGGUAGAGCAUUUGACUUUUAAUCAAAGGGUCAGGCGUUCGAAUCGCCUACAGGUCACCA